rnacentral:sRNA from 1 species
AGAAAAUGACAUUUGUAAUAGGAAUUUUAAGAUUUUAUUACUUCUUCUUUCAUCUCCUCAAAGGAAUGAAGAAAUGGUGGUGGGCAGAUCUUCCUUUCCCAUGCAGUAUUUUCCAAUUAAUAAUACUUCUUUACCUCAAGAAUAUUUUCUCUUUCAGAAGAUGCAGUGGCAUGUGUAUAAUCCAGUGCUGCAGCUUCCUUACUAUGAAAUGACAGCUCCACUUCCUAAUAGUGCAUCUGUGUCUUCCUCACUGAAUCAUGUUCCAGAUCUUGAGGCUGGACCCAGCUCAUAUAAAUGGACUCACCAACAACCAAGUGACUCUGACCUUUAUCAGAUGAAUAAACGAAAGAGACAAAAGCAAACAAGUGAUAGUGAUAGUAGCACAGACAACAACAGAGGCAACGAAUGUAGCCAAAAGUUCCGAAAGUCUAAGAAGAAGAAAAGAUACUAGUAUUACCUACAAAUGAAACUUACCUACACUGAUCUUAGUUCUCUUAUGAAAAAAAUAAGAUGUUAUUCCAUCAAAUAACCAAUGUCAUGGC